UGGGGAAUAUUGGACAAUGGGCGAAAGCCUGAUCCAGCCAUGCCGCGUGUGUGAAGAAGGUCUUCGGAUUGUAAAGCACUUUAAGUUGGGAGGAAGGGCAGUAAGCGAAUACCUUGCUGUUUUGACGUUACCGACAGAAUAAGCACCGGCUAACUCUGUGCCAGCAGCCGCGGUAAUACAGAGGGUGCAAGCGUUAAUCGGAAUUACUGGGGGUAACGCGCGCGUAGGUGGUUCGUUAAGUUGAAUGUGAAAGCCCCGGGCUCAACCUGGGAACUGCAUCCAAAACUGGCGAGCUAGAGUAGGGCAGAUGGUGGUGGAAUUUCCUGUGUAGCGGUGAAAUGCGUAGAUAUAGGAAGGAACACCAGUGGCGAAGGCAACCACCUGGGCUCAUACUGACACUGAGGUGCGAAAGCGUGGGGAGCAAACAGG
rnacentral:rRNA from 1 species